AACGAACGCUGGCGGCAGGCUUAACACAUGCAAGUCGAACGGGCCCUUCGGGGUCAGUGGCAGACGGGUGAGUAACGCGUGGGAACGUGCCCUUCAGUUUGGGAUAACCCAGGGAAACUUGGGCUAAUACCGGAUACGUGCGAGAGCAGAAAGAUUUAUCGCUGAAGGACCGGCCCGCGUCCGAUUAGCUGGUUGGUAGGGUAAUGGCCUACCAAGGCGACGAUCAGUAGCUGGUCUGAGAGGAUGAUCAGCCACAUUUGGACUGAGACACGGCCCACACUCCUACGGGAGGCAGCAGUGGGGAAUAUUGGACAAUGGGCGCAAGCCUGAUCCAGCCAUGCCGCGUGAGUGAUGAAGGCCUUAGGGUUGUAAAGCUCUUUCAGUGGGGACGAUAAUGACGGUACCCGCAGAAGAAGCCCCGGCUAACUUCGUGCCAGCCGCCGCGGUAA
rnacentral:rRNA from 1 species